rnacentral:SRP_RNA from 1 species
UUCUUAGACCUGUGCAACGAUAUUUUUAAGCACCGUUUCAGGGUAGGAAUACAGCAGAACACUUGAUCUUAGCGUGUGCCGCAGCAAUCUGGGAAGGG